rnacentral:rRNA from 1 species
CGGACAUUAGUGGCGGACGGGUGAGUAACGCGUGAGAAUCUAGCUUCAGGUUGGGGACAACAGUUGGAAACGACUGCUAAUACCGAAUAUGCCGAGAGGUGAAAGAUUUAUUGCCUGAAGAAGAGCUCGCGUCUGAUUAGCUAGUUGGUGGGGUAAAAGCUUACCAAGGCGACGAUCGGUAGCUGGUCUGAGAGGACGAUCAGCCACACUGGGACUGAGACACGGCCCAGACUCCUACGGGAGGCAGCAGUGGGGAAUUUUCCGCAAUGGGCGAAAGCCUGACGGAGCAAUACCGCGUGAGGGAAGAAGGCUCUUGGGUUGUAAACCUCUUUUCUUAGGGAAGAAAAAAAUGACGGUACCUAAGGAAUAAGCAUCGGCUAACUCCGUGCCAGCAGCCGCGGUAAUACGGAGGAUGCAAGCGUUAUCCGGAAUGAUUGGGCGUAAAGCGUCCGCAGGUGGCAAAUCAAGUUUGCGGUUAAAGGUUCUGGCUCAACCAGAGACAGGCCGUGAAAACUGAUUAGCUAGAGUAUGGUAGGGGCAGAGGGAAUUCCCAGUGUAGCGGUGAAAUGCGUAGAGAUUGGGAGGAA